UGAAGAUAAAGUAACCAGAAGUCUUAGAGAGGAAGUAACGGUCAGCUGCGUGAAAAGAAACUUCCUGGAAACUUAAUGUAGUGUGAAAAAAAAAGAAAUGUAUAAAAGAAGAAGGAAGAGGUGAAGAACUAGAGCAUGACAAAAAACUGAGCACAGAUCAGUUUGAGGAGACGAGGAGAAGAAAAAGGUAGGGAAUCUAUUUGGACUUUUUUGUAAAACUCAUUGUUUUGAUUUGUGGUUUUUUAACAGAACAUGAAUUUAUGAAUUUGUUUAAAAAUGUUUAAUUUUUUUAAAAAGCUGCUGUAUGUAAAUGUGUUCAGCCAGGCUUGACGGUGUUUCUGAAAGUGUUUCCACCCGUUGAGUUGCUGUUUCUUGUGAGUUUUUGAGCGAAGAAGGUUCAUCCAGUGGAGGAAAAGAUCUGUUGCAGAAAAUGUUUGCUGCCAAAGUGCUAAUUCUCGUCUUGGUCGUCACAGGUCAUUAUGGGAGUGAAAUCUCUUCGACUACUACAAGAACAAGCCCGGUGACACAAAAUCCCCCAAAACUGAAGAUCAAACACAAAACCAAACCACAAGUAAGUAUGAAUUAAUAAUAUUUAAAAAGGUCAUCAUUGUUACAUAAGUAGUAUUAAGUGCAAACUGGAUUCACACUCAAUUCCCUUUUCUGUUUGUUGUUCUUAUCUUUAGUGGUCACAGCGGUCAACAGCUCCGACACCAGUAUGACAAAUAAAACCAACGUAUCUAAGGUAAAGGCAACAUUUUCAAAAUAAUUAUUUUAAAUAAAUUAAAAAAGUUUCGGACUUAACAAUAUGCAAAAAAGUGACCCUGUAAAAUGUUUUUUUUUUAUAUAUAUUCUUAAGAGGGGAAGAAAUUCUGGUACAGCAAAGAUCUGUUUAAAAAUGUGACGGAAAGUAUCCAGGAACUGCCGGGCAUGAUUUUAUUUGGAUCGGGGUUUCUGAUGGGAAUCGUUCUCACGACAUUGAUCGUCUGCAUCACCAAAGCUUGUCAAAGAGGCAAGAAGAAAAGAUCAUCCUAUCAAUUGGGAGACCAGGAGAUGAAUACCCAAGCCUCAACAAAGGUGGAUGGAGAUGCAGUCCAGGAUGAAGAGUCAGCGGGACAGUUGUUACCCAAUGGGGACGGGGCUCCAAAAGAAGCAGAGUACUCUGAUCUUGACUUCUCUGCGGCAAAAAACAGGAAGGCCCCAGAGGUCAGGACAAUCGGAGAGACUGAAUACGCUGAGAUUAAAAUAGAAAACCAAGCAGAGAAUGCUGAGGAUUGGAAAUAUUGGAGAUUAACCACGAAACACUGAAGGAAGAUGAAAAUGAAGGGGAAAUGCUUUGCGUCCCGCCUGAAGAGGCAGCCACAGAAGACUUCUCUGGAGAGUUCAUUGAAGAGUUCUCUGGACAGAUUACUGAUGAGACCUGAACUCUAACUGCUAAUGGAGUAAUAUACAAAAAAAAAGAUUUUAUUUUAUACAUGUAUUAUAUGCAUUGACCGUUUAUGAGAACUGGACUGAAUCACUCCUCCCCUCUUGCAUUCUAAACAGGAAGUAUCCACUGGCUCCAAGAAGCCAAAAUCCCAGAGACUUCUAUUGAGAAUUAAGCAGCUACGACUCAGUCAUUACAUUUGUUAUAAUAACCAUUCUCGUUUUAACAUUUUUUUUGCUAAUUCUACUUUUUUGUUAUAAUAUUUUCAUAGUGCAAGUUACUUGAGUCCUAAACUGUUCAAUCAGGUGCCUCAAAAGAAUGUGGCGCCCGCUGCCUACGUCAAACAUGAUUUCAAUCUGACAGAUCUUAUGUCAUCUCAUCCAUUCUGAAGUGAGAGGGGUGUGGACUUCCAAUAAGCUAACUUCUAAUUAGUGAGAGUGGUUACCAUAGAAACACUGACUGACACCAACGUGGACCAAUCCCUGCUCACUGAUGUCAUCUGGCUCCAACAAGGCAGUGUCUGUUUAUAUAUGUUUAGCUGAAUUUAGUUAUUUUUGUGGAAACUGGAAGUAGGUAAUUUUUUUUUUUUUUUGGUCAUGUCACACUUUCAGUCCAGUUCUCAUGUACUGCCAAUCAAAUUAAGCUUUAUUUGUAAAUAUAUAUGCUUUUCAUGGCACACAGCUCAAACUGCUUUAUAGUUAAAAAUAAACAUGAGGACAAAAAAAAAAAAAACAUAAUAAUGAUGAAAACAAACCUAUCCUUUGCCUGCUCCUUAACCUCCAUUGACUCACAAUGAAAAUAAUGACAGCAGUUAUGAAAAAGACUUUGGGUGUUGUUUAGGAACACAAUCUUGCUUUAUAUUACCACUUUUUCCACAAU
rnacentral:lncRNA from 1 species